AUGGAGAUUGUUGAACUAAAAGUGGAGAUGGUUUGUAUACAUGAAAAAAGACUAAGGAAGUGCCUCUCAAAAUUAAAAGGGAUAGAGAAAGUGGAAGUGGAUACUAAUUGUCAGAAGGUAGUAGUAUACACUGGAUACACACACAAAAACAAAAUCCUAAAAGCAGUUAGAAGAGGGGGUCUCAAGGCUGAUUUUUGGUCUCCUCAGAAUGAGUUGCUUAAUGCUUAUGUCAGUGCCAAUUAUGCCAGAUUUAGAUUCAACCCCUUUAGUUUCUUCUAG